AGCCUUAUAUUCAAUUAGUGAUAAUAGAAUGCAAUUCUAUAGGGGUAGAACACAUAUCUACUAAGGCUU
rnacentral:tRNA from 1 species